UACAGAGGGUGCGAGCGUUAAUCGGAAUUACUGGGCGUAAAGCGCACGUAGGUGGCGACGUAAGUCGGGUGUGAAAGCCCCGGGCUCAACCUGGGAAUUGCAUUCGAGACUGCAUUGCUGGAGUACGGAAGAGGAAGGCGGAAUUCCCGGUGUAGCGGUGAAAUGCGUAGAUAUUAGGAAGAACACCAGUGGCGAAGGCGGCUCACUGGUCCGGUACUGACGCUGAGGUGCGAAAGCGUGGGGAGCAAACAGG
rnacentral:rRNA from 1 species